AAAAACAUGUUAUAUGAUGUGAAUUCAAUUAAUAAAACAAUUAUAACAUACACAUACUAAUUAAUCUAUUUAUACAUUUCUAAAAUUAAAAAUUAUACUGUAUAAAAAAAAGUAUAAUGUCAAUAGAAUAAUGUUACUUAAAUAUGUUGGUACUUUGAAGGAGUAAUUUAUGGUUCUCCAUUUCAGUAUUUUUAAAAUACAUUUACAUGCUGCGCGAAGUGCGGCUCCGUUUUCUAGUUAGAAUAUAAUAGAAGUAUUCAAUCUCUCUACAAAGCAGAAUUUGUAGUAAUGAGCCUCAAAAACAAAAUAGUCAUUUAUUCAUAACUAGAUAACGAACCGCGCUUUGCGCGGUCUUUAAACCUAUAUCUAUUCUAAAAGUGUGCCUAUAUAACUAUGAGAAAUUCGUGGGUAACUUUUUAUUUAUAUUUAAUAAAAUAAUAAAAUAAAAAUAAAAAAAUCCCAUUAAUAUUUGAACUGAUAGUUGUUGUGUUUAACAGAUUUGUUGUGAAUUUUCUGUUUAAUAGUUUAAAAUUAAUGAGAAUAUGAAUCAAGAUACUCAAGAGUGGCUCUCGUCAACUACGGAAAGGACUAUAACCAGGUUGUUGUUAUCGUUGACGUCAUUGAUCAUAACCGAGUAUGUUUUUCUGAAUUUUUUUUUCUGGUAUUUUCUGUUUUUGAAUUUAUUUUUGUAUACUUAUCUUAGGCCUUCAUUGCCUUUAAAAAUAAAUGAUCUUUUAUAGGAUUUUUGUAUUUUCAUUAGUUUGGUUGUUGUAGUUGGUGAAUAGUAACUUGAUGAAGUCUUAACUUUGAUUUAAUAGUAUGGUUAUGGAUUUUCUGACUUUGAAUUAAAAAAAAUUGAUUAACUUUAGAUAGACUCACUAUGGUAUUGAAGUAAUUAUUCCUUACCAUUUACUGCUAAAGGAAAGAGAUUAUUUUUGUUGGUAUUUUGAUAUAUUUUUUUUUUGAAUAAGCUCGAAUUAUUAAUUUGGUACCAGUGAUUGAAGAUAUUAUCUGUACAUUCUGAGAUGAUUUAGUGGCUUUUGUAGUAUUCUAUUAUCGGUGUUAAGGUUCAAUCUCCACUAAAUCAAUUUGGCUUUGAUAGCUUAUGUUUAGUGUUAAACAUUGAAAAUUACUAAACCAAUUUUAUUUUGAUUGACAAUUGCUAUUCUUUUGGCCUACAUUAAUUUUUUAUCUCCCUUGUUUUUGUGAGGUGCGCGUGAGGAGGUUAAUCCUUGUUGACUUUUUUUUUUUGGGUUCGUAAAGGCUCUUGUGGAUUCUCACGACAUGGUGAGGUCACAAAUGAACUUCAAGUUGAGGAUUUUGAUAUGUUAGAGAUGAUUCGACUUACUGUCAUCAAUAAUCUGUUAAAGUAUCAUCCUGAUUCGAAACAGCCGCUGCCCCUGAUUUCUUCUCCAUUGACGUUGCCGCAGCUGAACACUUCUACCUCCCGGUUCCAGAUUUCCACACUCUUUCUCGUGGAGCCGGGCCUAAGACAUCGACUCAUGAGGAUGAGCGGCGCCUUGAGAGUAUCUGGUUUCGUGGUAAUAUUAAAUUCAAGAGCCAUAUGAUUCAGCUCCAUAAAUAUACUACUGGAGGUAUGUAGACAAAUGCUCCAAAGUACAAUUAGGAGAAAAUGACUUGCAGGAGGUGUUCUUUAAUUGUUUGCUCCUUGUAGGGUGUUACUAUGUAUGCAUUGAUUUUUUAUUUUAUAAUGAUUUGAAGUCUUUUUGUCUUCUACUUGUUCAAUGGGACAAUCUUAGCUUUUUUUGUUGUAUUGUGCAAAUGAGGUUAUACUUGUUAUAUUCUGAUUUGGGAAGGUCUUUUUAUUCAUCAUAACUAGGCUCAUUUCUUUC